UAAUAAUAUUUUGCUGCUGACAUGAGUGCUAAUUGCUGCUGGAGAGCAUGCAGAAUUGACCAGAAUUCUGCUACAGCACUUUCAGUCUGAGAUGAUUACUACAUAGAUGUAUUCUAAAAUUUGGAUAAAAGAAACCUGCCAUAUCAUGGAAUUAUUAAAGAGAAUCUGAUUCCAGCAAAGCAGUUUACCCUCUGAGGCCCUCGCUGUCAGCUCCACGCUCAUACAUCCAUGCCCUGCUGUCGAGCCUGACAGCCGUCUAUUGUUCAUUCACUGCUUCCACCUCGCCACUUAAUAUUAUUGCGAUAAGGAAACCCUCGUGUCUCGACCCACUGGCGUCUGGCUAAUCCGAUGGUAUUUGUCGCCGCAUUGUCCGUGAUCAAUAACUAAUUAUCAAAGUGGCAUUUCUUUUCAAGAGCUCCUUGUUAAAAAAUGGCUUUUGGCUGAGAGUGGAGGAAAAAGGUCGCCACUUUGACAUCAUUGCAAGUCUUUCAAAAUCCAGUGGGCCGUCCGAUUGAAUUACUGUCCCAAACUAAUUGAUAUAAAUUUGAACAGAAGAAUGCUUGUUACUACAGAAUGUCAUAAUGAUAUCCUUGGCAAGAGCAUGUCAGUGGGAAAAAAAAAAGAGAAAAGACCAGCACUAGUCACAAAGCAUUGAGACAAGUUGCAGCACAAGACUAUUAACAAAAUUAAGAGGAACAAAACUGUACACCACUUCCUUCUUCCCAGCCAGUCUGAUCAGGCGUUCAAGAA